GAUCUGCUCAUGCUGCUGGGUGGAAGCCAGGCAGGAAACUUUCAUUCGUGUGUGACAUUUGUGAAACAAUGUAUCGGUUUGCGAGUUCUAUGUUUGCAAUUUCGCUCUUUGUGGCAAACUAUCCCCAAAGCAGUUUUUUCGGUCGAGCCGUAUCCCGGAACGGGAUAGGAUUGAGGCACUGCUACAAAAGGCUCUUAAUUGGUGACCUUUCAACCUAACUGUGGAGUGAGCUUACGAUACACAGGGGUUCUCUGGGUGUGGACCAGGAAUCAAACACCCACGAGGAGCCCAGGAUGCUUCCAACACUGGAGAGCCUGCAGAGGAACUAGCAGGAGAGGACCUGAGCCCUAGGACCAUACGUCAGGACUACCGGGCAUGAUGA